rnacentral:rRNA from 1 species
UAGAGUUUGAUCCUGGCUCAGAACGAACGCUGGCGGCAGGCUUAACACAUGCAAGUCGAACGCCCCUUACGGGGAGUGGCAGACGGGUGAGUAACGCGUGGGAAUCUACCCAUCUCUACGGAAUAACUCAGGGAAACUUGUGCUAAUACCGUAUACGCCCUUUGGGGGAAAGAUUUAUCGGAGAUGGAUGAGCCCGCGUUGGAUUAGCUAGUUGGUGGGGUAAAGGCCUACCAAGGCGACGAUCCAUAGCUGGUCUGAGAGGAUGAUCAGCCACAUUGGGACUGAGACACGGCCCAAACUCCUACGGGAGGCAGCAGUGGGGAAUAUUGGACAAUGGGCGCAAGCCUGAUCCAGCCAUGCCGCGUGAGUGAUGAAGGCCCUAGGGUUGUAAAGCUCUUUCACCGAUGAAGAUAAUGACUGUAGUCGGAGAAGAAGCCCCGGCUAACUUCGUGCCAGCAGCCGCGGUAAUACGAAGGGGGCUAGCGUUGUUCGGAAUUACUGGGCGUAAAGCGCACGUAGGCGGGUAUUUAAGUCAGGGGUGAAAUCCCGGAGCUCAACUCCGGAACUGCCUUUGAUACUGGGUACCUAGAGUAUGGAAGAGGUAAGUGGAAUUCCGAGUGUAGAGGUGAAAUUCGUAGAUAUUCGGAGGAACACCAGUGGCGAAGGCGGCUUACUGGUCCAUUACUGACGCUGAGGUGCGAAAGCGUGGGGCGCAAACAGGAUUAGAUACCCUGGUAGUCCACGCCGUAAACGAUGAAUGUUAGCCGUCGGCAUGCAUGCAUGUCG